rnacentral:rRNA from 1 species
GAGUUUGAUCAUGGCUCAGAUUGAACGCUGGCGGUAGGCUUAACACAUGCAAGUCGUGCGAGAAAGUAUCUUCGGAUAUGAGUAGAGCGGCGGACGGGUGAGUAACGCGUAGGAAUCUACCUAGUAGAAGGGGAUAGCCCGGGGAAACCCGGAUUAAUACCGUAUACCUCCUUCGGGAGAAAGAAGGCCUCUCUUUGAAGCUUUCGCUAUUAGAUGAGCCUGCGUAAGAUUAGCUUGUUGGUGAGGUAAAGGCUCACCAAGGCGACGAUCUUUAGCUGGUCUGAGAGGACGAUCAGCCACAUUAGGACUGAGACACGGCCCAGACUCCUACGGGAGGCAGCAGUGGGGAAUAUUGGACAAUGGGCGCAAGCCUGAUCCAGCCAUACCGCGUGUGUGAAGAAGGCCUUCGGGUUGUAAAGCACUUUAAGCAGGGAGAAAAAGUUAUAAGUUAAUACCUUAUAACCCUGAUGUUACCUGCAGAAUAAGCACCGGCUAAUUCCGUGCCAGCAGCCGCGGUAAUACGGAAGGUGCAAGCGUUAAUCGGAAUUACUGGGCGUAAAGCGCGCGUAGGUGGUUUGUUAAGUUGGAUGUGAAAGCCCUGGGCUCAACCUAGGAACUGCAUCCAAAACUAACUCACUAGAGUACGAUAGAGGGAGGUAGAAUUCAUAGUGUAGCGGUGGAAUGCGUAGAUAUUAUGAAGAAUACCAGUGGCGAAGGCGGCCUCCUGGAUCUGUACUGACACUGAGGUGCGAAAGCGUGGGUAGCGAACAGGAUUAGAUACCCUGGUAGUCCACGCCGUAAACGAUGACAACUAGCUGUUGGGAGACUAUGUCUUUCAGUGGCGCAGCUAACGCUUUAAGUUGUCCGCCUGGGGAGUACGGCCGCAAGACUAAAACUCAAAUGAAUUGACGGGGACCCGCACAAGCGGUGGAGCAUGUGGUUUAAUUCGAUGCAACGCGAAAAACCUUACCAACUCUUGACAUACUUGGAGGCUCUUGUAAUGAGAGUGUGCCUUUCUGAACCAAGAUACAGGUGCUGCAUGGCUGUCGUCAGCUCGUGUCGUGAGAUGUUCCGUUAAGUCGGAUAACGAGCGCAACCCUUACCCUUAUUUGCCAGCGAUUCGGUCGGGAACUAUAAGGGGACUGCCGGUGAUAAACCGGAGGAAGGUGAGGACGACGUCAAGUCAUCAUGGCCCUUACGAGUAGGGCUACACACGUGCUACAAUGGGAGAUACAGACGGACGCUAAGCCGCGAGGUGGUGCUAAUCCUAAAAAGUCUUUCGUAGUCCGGAUUAGAGUCUGCAACUCGACUCCAUGAAGUCGGAAUCGCUAGUAAUCGCGGAUCAGCAUGCCGCGGUGAAUACGUUCUCGGGUCUUGUACACACCGCCCGUCACACCAUGGAAGUGGUUUGCACCAGAAGUAGAUAGUCUAACCUUAGGGAGGGCGUUUACCACGGUGUGCUUCAUGACUGGGGUGAAGUCGUAACAAGGUAACC